rnacentral:misc_RNA from 1 species
CGUUCUCGCUCACGCUCUCCGGAGUCUCGUUCUCACCGCCGCCAUCGCCACCAGCGCACCCCAUCCCCAUCGCCACCCCGAAAACGUCACCGCUAUGAGACCGAAGAAGGCAGAGAUAAAGAAAAGGAAAGAGAAAGAGAGAGGGAUAGACAAAGGGCAGCUGUGUCAGAUUUCCUGGAUGGGAUCGCAAGGGAGCAGAUGGAGAGGAUUGGGAAUAACAAUACUAGUGGUGAUGGUGGUGGUGAAGGAGGAGAGGGAGAAGUAGUGGUAGAAGGAUC